rnacentral:rRNA from 1 species
UACGGGGGGGGCAAGCGUUGUUCGGAAUUACUGGGCGUAAAGGGCUCGUAGGCGGCCAACUAAGUCAGACGUGAAAUCCCCAGGCUCAACCUGGGAACUGCGUCUGAUACUGGAUGGCUUGAAUUCGGGAGAGGGAUGCAGAAUUCCAGGUGUAGCGGUGAAAUGCGCAGAUAUCAGGAGGAACACCGGUGGCGAAGGCGGAUCUCUGGGCCAUUACUGACGCUGAGGAGCGAAAGCGUGGGGAGCGAACAGG